AACUCUGGUAUUGAUUGGUGCUUGCAUCAUGAUUUACAUUUGAGUGAGUGGCGAACUGGUGAGUAACACGUGGGAAACCUGCCCAGAAGCGGGGGAUAACACCUGGAAACAGAUGCUAAUACCGCAUAACAACUUGGACCGCAUGGUCCGAGCUUGAAAGAUGGCUUCGGCUAUCACUUUUGGAUGGUCCCGCGGCGUAUUAGCUAGAUGGUGGGGUAACGGCUCACCAUGGCAAUGAUACGUAGCCGACCUGAGAGGGUAAUCGGCCACAUUGGGACUGAGACACGGCCCAAACUCCUACGGGAGGCAGCAGUAGGGAAUCUUCCACAAUGGACGAAAGUCUGAUGGAGCAACGCCGCGUGAGUGAAGAAGGGUUUCGGCUCGUAAAACUCUGUUGUUAAAGAAGAACAUAUCUGAGAGUAACUGUUCAGGUAUUGACGGUAUUUAACCAGAAAGCCACGGCUAACUACGUGCCAGCAGCCGCGGUAAUACGUAGGUGGCAAGCGUUGUCCGGAUUUAUUGGGCGUAAAGCGAGCGCAGGCGGUUUUUUAAGUCUGAUGUGAAAGCCUUCGGCUCAACCGAAGAAGUGCAUCGGAAACUGGGAAACUUGAGUGCAGAAGAGGACAGUGGAACUCCAUGUGUAGCGGUGAAAUGCGUAGAUAUAUGGAAGAACACCAGUGGCGAAGGCGGCUGUCUGGUCUGUAACUGACGCUGAGGCUCGAAAGUAUGGGUAGCAAACAGGAUUAGAUACCCUGGUAGUCCAUACCGUAAACGAUGAAUGCUAAGUGUUGGAGGGUUUCCGCCCUUCAGUGCUGCAGCUAACGCAUUAAGCAUUCCGCCUGGGGAGUACGGCCGCAAGGCUGAAACUCAAGGAAUUGACGGGGGCCCGCACAAGCGGUGGAGCAUGUGGUUUAAUUCGAAGCUACGCGAAGAACCUUACCAGGUCUUGACAUACUAUGCAAAUCUAAGA
rnacentral:rRNA from 2 species